rnacentral:rRNA from 1 species
UGCCAGCCGCCGCGGUAAUACGGAGGGGGCUAGCGUUGUUCGGAAUUACUGGGCGUAAAGCGCGCGUAGGCGGAUUGGUCAGUUGGGGGUGAAAUCCCGAGGCUUAACCUCGGAACUGCCCUCAAUACUGCCAGUCUAGAGUCCGAGAGAGGUAAGCGGAAUUUCCAGUGUAGAGGUGAAAUUCGUAGAUAUUGGUAAGAACACCAGUGGCGAAGGCGACCACCUGGCCAGAUACUGACGCUGAGGUGCGAAAGCGUGGGGAGCAAACAGGAUUAGAUA